UAAGUAAUCACUCAGCACAAGCCAAGUGUUCAGUGAUAGACGUUAGAUGGCAGUAAAAAGAAAAUGUAUCAUCAUAAGUAGUAAGUGAAUACAGAAUCAUAGGAUCGGAGAAGACCUUACAAAUGCUGUGCCUCCUAAAUGUUGUUCACUUAAAUCUGAUGUAUACAUAAGAUCUAAUGUGCCAAAAAUUAGGUGGAUUUAUUUUUUUAAAAACUAUAAGAUCUGACAUAGUGAAGCAUUUAAUAAUUGAGGAAAUUCUCAAUUUUAUAUAAACUGUAUUUUCUAAA
rnacentral:lncRNA from 1 species